rnacentral:rRNA from 1 species
GGGUUGUGAGGUUAAGCGACUAAGCGUACACGGUGGAUGCCCUGGCAGUCAGAGGCGAUGAAGGACGUGCUAAUCUGCGAAAAGCGUCGGUAAGGUGAUAUGAACCGUUAUARCCGGCGAUGUCCGAAUGGGGAAACCCAGUGUGAUUCGUCACACUAUCGUUAACUGAAUACAUAGGUUAACGAGGCGAACCGGGGGAACUGAAACAUCUAAGUACCCCGAGGAAAAGAAAUCAACCGAGAUUCCCCCAGUAGCGGCGAGCGAACGGGGAGCAGCCCAGAGUCUGAAUCAGCUUGUGUGUU